GCAGACACAUUCCAGCCAAUCAGCAGCAGACCCUCCCUCCCAGACCCUCCACCUCCUGGACAGCUCACUAAGAAUGCAGCUUCACAAUGAAUGUAAAAUGGAUGCUGUCCAGGAGGUGGGAGGGUCUGGGAGGGAGGGUCUGCUGCUCAUUGGCUGGAAUGUGUCUG
rnacentral:miRNA from 1 species